rnacentral:rRNA from 1 species
UACGGAGGGUGCAAACGUUGCUCGGAAUCAUUGGGCGUAAAGCGCACGUAGGCGGUCCGGCAAGUCGGGUGUGAAAGCCCUCGGCUUUACCGAGGAAGUGCAUUCGAAACUACCGGACUUGAAUACUGGAGAGGGUCGCGGAAUUCCCGGUGUAGAGGUGAAAUUCGUAGAUAUCUGGAGGAACACCGGUGGCGAAGGCGGCAUCCUGGACCGGUAUUGACGCUGAGGCGCGAAAGCCAGGGGAGCAAACGGG